AUUGAACGCUGGCGGCAGGCCUAACACAUGCAAGUCGAGCGCGCGGAGGACGGGUGAGUAAUGUAUGGGGAUCUGCCUGAUGGAGGGGGAAAACUACUGGAAAGGGUAGAUCAUAGCGAAUACCAUCAGAGCACCACAUAUGGGAUUAGCUUGUAGGUGAGGUAACGGCUCACCUAGGCGACGACCCCUAGCUGGUCUGAGAUGAUGAUCAGCCACACUGGGACUGAGACACGGCCCAGACUCCUACGGUAGGCAGCAGUGGGGAAUAUUGCACAAUGGGCGAAAGCCUGAUGCAGCCAUGCCGCGUGUAUGAAGAAGGCCUUCGGGUUGUAAAGUACUUUCAGUCGGGAGGCGUUACCGACAGAAGAAGCACCGGCUAACUCCGUGCCAGCAGCCGCGGUAAUUC
rnacentral:rRNA from 1 species